GCUACUGUAGCGUAGUUGGUAGCGCAAUUGAUUCGUAAUCAAUAGGUCGCCGGUUCGAGUCCGGCCAGUAGCUCCA
rnacentral:tRNA from 5 species